rnacentral:lncRNA from 1 species
UCAAAAUCUCCUGCUUCUCUGGAGAUGACAAUCCUCUUCUCUAUCCUGGUUUCAGAGAUCCCUCCAUUCAUCGUCUGGUAGCAGAAAGAUUGAUUAAGGAAUAUAAUUUUUAUUGUUAUUUAUUCUAGAAAGUCUGACAGCAGAUUUGAAAUUGGGUUAGUAUUAUAGGUGUGGUAGUAGACAGAUGGGUUAUGGGUAGUCUUAUAGGUGUGGUACUGGACAGAUGGGUUAGUAUUACAGGUGUGGUACUGGACAGAUGGGUUAUGGGUAGUAUUAUAGGUGUGGUACUGGACAGAUGGGUUAUUGGUAGUAUUAUAGGUGUGGUACUGGACAGAUGGGUUAGUAUUAUAGGUGUGGUACUAGAUAGAUGGGUUAGUAUUAUAGGUGUGGUAUUGGACAGAUGGGUUAGUAUUAUAGGUGUGGUACUAGACAGAUGGAUUAGUAUUAUAGGUGUGGUAAUAGACAGAUGGAUUAGUAUUAUAGGUGUGGUACUGGACAGAUGGGUUAUGGGUAGUAUUAUAGAUGUGGAACUAGACAGAUGGGUUAGUAUUAUAGGUGUGGUACUGCACAGAUGGGUUAGUUUUAUAGGUGUGGUACUAGACAGAUGGGUUAUAGGUAGUAUUAUAGGUGUGGUACUGGACAGAUGGGUUAGUAUUAUAGGUGUGGUACUAGACAGAUGGGUUAUGGGUAGUAUAAUAGGUGUGGUACUAGACAGAUGGGUUAUGGGUAGUAUUAUAGGUGUGGUACCAGAAAGAUGGGUUAGUAUUUUAGGUGUGGUUCUGGACAGAUGGGUUAGUAUUAUAGGUGUGGUACUAGACAGAUGGGUUAUGGGUAGUAUUAUAGGUGUGGUACUGGACAGAUGGGUUAGUAUUAUAGGUGUUGUACUAGACAGAUGGGUCAUGGGUAGUAUUAUAGGUGUGGUACUGGACAGAUGGUUUAGUAUUAUAGGUGUGGUACUGGACAGAUGGGUUAGUAUUAUAGGUGUGGUACUGGACAGAUGGGU